rnacentral:rRNA from 1 species
UACGGAGGGUGCAAGCGUUAUCCGGAUUCACUGGGUUUAAAGGGUGCGUAGGUAGGUUGAUAAGUCAGUGGUGAAAUCCCCGAGCUUAACUUGGGAACUGCCAUUGAUACUAUUGAUCUUGAAUACCGUGGAGGUCAGCGGAAUAUGUCAUGUAGCGGUGAAAUGCUUAGACAUGACAUAGAACACCAAUUGCGAAGGCAGCUGGCUACGCGAAUAUUGACACUGAUGCACGAAAGCGUGGGGAUCAAACAGG